rnacentral:rRNA from 1 species
AAGAGCUCGUAGGCGGUCUGUCGCGUCUGCUGUGAAAACCUCAGGCUCAACCUGGGGCUUGCAGUGGGUACGGGCAGACUAGAGUGCGGUAGGGGUGACUGGAAUUCCUGGUGUAGCGGUGGAAUGCGCAGAUAUCAGGAGGAACACCGAUGGCGAAGGCAGGUCACUGGGCCGCAACUGACGCUGAGGAGCGAAAGCAUGGGGAGCGAACAGGAUUAGAUACCCUGGUAGUCCAUGCCGUAAACGUUGGGCACUAGGUGUGGGGUCCAUUCCACGGAUUCCGUGCCGCAGCAAACGCAUUAAGUGCCCCGCCUGGGGAGUACGGCCGCAAGGCUAAAACUCAAAGAAAUUGACGGGGGCCCGCACAAGCGGCGGAGCAUGCGGAUUAAUUCGAUGCAACGCGAAGAACCUUACCAAGGCUUGACAUGCACCGGUAACACUCAGAGAUGGGUGCCCCGCAAGGUCGGUGCACAGGUGGUGCAUGGUUGUCGUCAGCUCGUGUCGUGAGAUGUUGGGUUAAGUCCCGCAACGAGCGCAACCCUCGUCCUCAUGUUGCCAGCGGGUUAUGCCGGGGACUCAUGGGAGACUGCCGGGGUCAACUCGGAGGAAGGUGGGGAUGACGUCAAAUCAUCAUGCCCCUUAUGUCUUGGGCUUCACGCAUGCUACAAUGGCCGGUACAAAGGGCUGCGAUAUCCGCGAGGUGGAGCGAAUCCCAAAAAACCUCGGUCUCAGUUCGGAUUGGGGUCUGCAACUCGACCUCCAUGAAGUCGGAGUCGCUAGUAAUCGCAGAUCAGCAACGCUGCGGUGAAUACGUUUCCCGGGCCUUGUACACACCGCCUCGUCAAGUCAUGAAAGUCGGUAACACCCGAAGCCGGUGGC